AGUCAUGGGGUGAACAAAAAGCUAACUAUUCUUUCGCCUUUUACUAAAGAAUACCGUGUGUUCUCCUCGCCAAGUGGCAUACGCCUAUUUUUUGGAGGGUUCCUAUGGGUGGGCCC
rfam:Arabis alpina cultivar Pajares chromosome 5, whole genome shotgun sequence.